CAUAUCAAUAAGCGGAGGAAAAGAAACCAACAGGGAUUGCCUCAGUAACGGCGAGUGAAGCGGCAAAAGCUCAAAUUUGAAACCCUCGGGAUUGUAAUUUGAAGAUUUGGCAUUGGAGAAAGCUAACCCAAGUUACUUGGAAUAGUACGUCAUAGAGGGUGACAACCCCGUCUGGCUAACCGUUCUCCAUGUAUUGCCUUAUCAAAGAGUCGAGUUGUUUGGGAAUGCAGCUCAAAGUGGGUGGUAAACUCCAUCUAAAGCUAAAUACUGGUGAGAGACCGAUAGCGAACAAGUACUGUGAAGGAAAGGUGAAAAGAACUUUGAAAAGAGAGUGAAAUAGUAUGUGAAAUUGUUGAUAGGGAAGGAAAUGAGCGGAGAGUGGUUGAGGUUUCAGCUGUCCUUUGGGACGGUGUAUUGCCAAUGCCGAGUCAUUGUCCGCGAGACGGGGGUUAUAAACGGGUUGCAUUCUUGCUUCUCACCUAACCCCCCCACUGCAGUCAACGACAUAAUCCGCCCAUUUCACCCGUCUUGAAACACGGACCAAGGAGUCUAAUGGAUAUGUGAGUGUUAGGGUGCCAAACCCCAACGCGCAAUGAAAGUGAAUGAUUCGUUCAGAAUCGACCGAACUUGAUUUUUAUGACAGUUUUGAGUAAACACAUCCAUUGGGACCCGAAAGAUGGUGAACUAUGCCUGAAUAGGGUGAAGUCAGAGGAAACUCUGAUGGAGGCUCGUAGCGGUUCUGACGUGCAAAUCGAUCGUAGAAUUUGGGUAUAGGGGCGAAAGACUAAUCGAACCAUCUAGUAGCUGGUUCCUGC
rnacentral:rRNA from 1 species